GACGAACGCUGGCGGCGUGCUUAACACAUGCAAGUCGAACGGAAAGGCCCUGCUUUUGUGGGGUGCUCGAGUGGCGAACGGGUGAGUAACACGUGAGUAACCUGCCCUUGACUUUGGGAUAUCUUCAGGAAACUGGGGCUAAUACCGGAUAGGAGCUCCUGCUGCAUGGUGGGGGUUGGAAAGUUUCGGCGGUUGGGGAUGGACUCGCGGCUUAUCAGCUUGUUGGUGGGGUAGUGGCUUACCAAGGCUUUGACGGGUAGCCGGCCUGAGAGGGUGACCGGCCACAUUGGGACGGAGAUACGGCCCAGACUCCUACGGGAGGCAGCAGUGGGGAAUAUUGCACAAUGGGCGGAAGCCUGAUGCAGCAACGCCGCGUGCGGGAUGACGGCCUUCGGGUUGUAAACCGCUUUCGCCUGUGACGAAGCGUGAGUGACGGUAAUGGGUAAAGAAGCACCGGCUAACUACGUG
rnacentral:rRNA from 1 species